ensembl:snRNA U6 U6 spliceosomal RNA
UUUAGCAAAUACACUAAAAUUGGAAUGAUACGGAGAAGACCAGCGUGGCCCCUGUACAAUGAUGACACACAAAUUCAUGAAGCAUUCCAUAUUAAU